ensembl:snRNA U6 U6 spliceosomal RNA
AUGCUCCCUUCGACAGCACAUAUACUAAAAUUGGAACAUACAGAGAAGAUUAGCGUGACCCCUGCACAAGGAUGACAUGCAAAUUCGUGAAGCAGUACAUAUUUUU